CGUCCGUCCGUCCGUCCGUCUGUCUGUCCGUCUGUCCGUCUGUCUGUCUGUCUGUCUGCACUAUAAGACACACAUAGCAACGAAGGUGCUCAUCCAUUUCAGGGCCCGUUCGUAUCUAGUUAUUUUGACAAAACAAACAAUACAUUUGUUCAUGAAACAUGGUUUUACAGGAUCUAUUUUCCAUAGAUCCAAUAGCAUAGCGUUGCGGUCAGCCCUGGCAGGCCUGUGUGUUGACCUAACCAAAGUGGGCAACAGACCAAAAUACCUUUUGUCGGUCGUAUCAGGGCAAUAUAUGUCUGAUAUGUUUGGGGAUGCAAAUAGGGACGCGUUGACAUAAUGUGACGAAGGAGGACAUGUCGCUGACGUCCCCUGCUGUCUUAUUUAAAGAGACGUCUCUGAGACUCUGUUCCCUCUCUUCUCCGCGGACCGCUUGCCCUUUGAGAACAGCGAUGGAGAGGCUUCUCGUUGCGAUCCUGCUGUUUUCCGGCAUCAUAUGGUGACAAGCAAAUUCCUCGUUCCGAAGCUGGAGACCCAGUGAGACAUUCAACAGGGACUGUGUGGCAGCGAUGUUUGAUGGAUACUGGUAUUCCUCCGAUUGUAAUCAAUCUAAGAUCUUCUGUUGUGAAACUACAAUGAUUGGUGGGUAUUUCGAUCUAGACAGGCCAGCAGCAGGGGCCGCAACAAAGAAACUGACGAAUUGCUCGCAAUUUCCUAUAAUGAUGUAAAACCGACUGUAUGAAGUUCAUUCUAAGUGUGACGUGGGAAGAAAUUUGGUCUCAUCACUGGCCAAGGCAAAAAUAAUUCAUAUUGCCUUCUUCAAGUUUACCCACUCUUACAAAACAACUCUUCACAAAACUCUUAGCCCUAAAUUGAUGGGGAUGAUGUUUGAGAUUGGUGAUGUUUUGUUUUCUUCCCACUAUGACCUGCAGGUCCUACACCUGAAAAAAAAGCGAAAUCUUCCAUCUUUAAACUCACACUGAGCCGUCACGGGAUCUCAUCGACCCUCAAAUGAAGGCGGACAUUUUAAAGAUGCUUAGUGAGAAGCUGGAGAAGAAGGGGAUAAAGAGAGACACGGUCAAGCUGACAUGGAGACAGCAGCCAGUAGGAGACGUUUUUCUGCUCCAACCACAGCGUACCUCCAACCCCAGUAAACCGUGCAAAGAAUUAUGAGGAUUCACCGACACCAACGUCUACUACAGGAGCACCAACAACAUAGUUAAUGCUUAUUUACUAACGCUCAUUAACUAAUGUUAACUGUGUUAAUUAAUGUACCCUUAUGGUAAAGUGUUUAGGCAAAGAAUGCAUGGACGGUUAAAAGGUACACUUAACUAGCUAGCGUUUCCAUUCUGAUAAUACAUCUAUAAAUAUAGAAACAGCCCGGCCCCAGAAUGAAUGAAAUACCUGAACGCAUUUUAUAACGAUGUACGACGCCUUCCUAAAAAGGCAAACUCGGUGUAUCAAACACUCUGCCUGAACUCAAUAAAACCGGGUGAAUCCAAUUUGGUCAUGGUCUGAAGCGCUUGAAUAGCAACCUUUGUGCCAUGCUUUACCUAUAAUUAGUUGUUCUCCGAAGACCUCCGUACCCCUUAAUACUCUGAGGCUUCUGCUCCUCCCACGCACGGUGAACAAGGAACUCUCUGGAGGCACUAUAGUUGGCAUGGUUAGUGUGUCAAUGGACGGGGAAAUGUGCUCCGUGCAACAACCAACACCUCUGGUCUGUUGAAGUCAGGGAGUGGAUCCUUCUAGGCCAUAAGCAGACUACCCUCUCUCAUCAUAAAGUGGCCAACUUUGCAAAAGCAGUUUGAGGAAUUGAUUGCCAGAAACACAUUUUUGUCUGUGCCUUUCCCUCCCUCCUCCCUACUCUUAAUCUGAAACUGCUGUGGGUAUGAUCUAAGAGAGAGGGCAAGGCAUAAAAAGGAAGAACCUCAAAUGCCUCCUCUCUGCCUCACACCGGGACUCCCUCACUAGUCCCUCCAUCCUUUCCUGACUCCCUCCAUCCUUUCCCUCACUAGUCCCUCCCUCCAUCCUUUCCUGACUCCCUCCAUCCUUUCCCUCACUAGUCCCUCCCUCCAUCCUUUCCCUCACUAGUCCCUCCCUCCAUCCUUUCCCUCACUAGUCCC
ensembl:lncRNA